GUAGGGCGGGACACGUGGUAUCCUGUCUGAAUAUGGGGGGACCAUCCUCCAAGGCUAAAUACUCCUGACUGACCGAUAGUGAACCAGUACCGUGAGGGAAAGGCGAAAAGAACCCCGGCGAGGGGAGUGAAAAAGAACCUGAAACCGUGUACGUACAAGCAGUGGGAGCACCUUCGUGGUGUGACUGCGUACCUUUUGUAUAAUGGGUCAGCGACUUAUAUUCUGUAGCAAGGUUAACCGUAUAGGGGAGCCGAAGGGAAACCGAGUCUUAACUGGGCGUUAAGUUGCAGGGUAUAGACCCGAAACCCGGUGAUCUAGCCAUGGGCAGGUUGAAGGUUGGGUAACACUAACUGGAGGACCGAACCGACUAAUGUUGAAAAAUUAGCGGAUGACUUGUGGCUGGGGGUGAAAGGCCAAUCAAACCGGGAGAUAGCUGGUUCUCCCCGAAAGCUAUUUAGGUAGCGCCUCGUGAACUCAUCUUCGGGGGUAGAGCACUGUUUCGGCUAGGGGGCCAUCCCGGCUUACCAACCCGAUGCAAACUACGAAUACCGAAGAAUGUUAUCACGGGAGACACACGGCGGGUGCUAACGUCCGUCGUGAAGAGGGAAACAACCCAGACCGCCAGCUAAGGUCCCAAAGUCAUGGUUAAGUGGGAAACGAUGUGGGAAGGCACAGACAGCCAGGAUGUUGGCUUAGAAGCAGCCAUCAUUUAAAGAAAGCGUAAUAGCUCACUGGUCGAGUCGGCCUGCGCGGAAGAUGUAACGGGGCUAAACCAUGCA
rnacentral:rRNA from 1 species